rnacentral:rRNA from 1 species
UGGUUGUCGUGAUGGGCGUAUGGUGGAUGCCUUGGCAGACAGUACCGAUGAAGGACGUGUGGGGCCGCGAUAGUCCUGGGGGAGCCGCCGACAUGGCUUUGAUCCCAGGGUGUCCGAAUGGGGCAACCCGCCAGCCGUCAUGGGCUGGCACCGCACUUGUGCGGGGGGUACGCAGGGAAGUGAAACAUCUCAGUACCUGCAGGAGAGGAUACUCCGUGAGUAGUGGCGAGCGAAAGCGGAUGAUGGCUAAACCGUGCGCGUGUGAUACCCGUCGGGGGUUGCGCGCAUGGUGUCGUGGGAACGCCUGUCCAACGGCCGACGCCGUUGGCUGUGGUGAUAAAUGCAUGCGUGAGGCGAACCGGGUUGGAUACCGGGCCGUAGAGGGUGAUGGCCCCGUAGCCGUAUGCGCGUGCACCAUGGAUGGUGUCUCCCGAGUAGCGCGGGACUCGUGGAAUCCCGUGUGAAUCCGCCCGGACCGUCGGGUAAGCCUGAGUAUACCUGUCUGACCGAUAGCGUACGAGUACCGUGAGGGAAAGGUGAAAAGCACCCCGGGAGGGGAGUGAAAGAGUUCCUGAAACCGUGCGCCCGCGAACCGUCGGAGCCCCCUUGGUGGGGUGACGGCGUGCCUAUCGAAAAAUGAGUCUGCGAGUCAGUGGCAUGUGGCGAGCAUAAGCCGUGUGGUGUAUGCGUAGCGAAAGCGAGUCUUAAAAGGCGUCUUUUCAGUCGCGUGUCCUGGACCCGAAGCGGGAUGAUCUAGCCCUGGUCAGGUUGAAGCGCGGGUAAGACCGCGUGGAGGACCGCACCCACUUAGGUUGAAAACUGAGGGGAUGAACUGGGGUUAGGGGUGAAAGGCCAAUCAAAUUCCGUGAUAGCUGGUUCUCUUCGAAAUGCAUUUAGGUGCAGCGUCGGUUGAUUGCGUGUGGGGGGUAGAGCUACUGGAUGCUUGCGGGCCCGUGCCGGGUACCAACAGCAACCAAACUCCGAAUACCCAUCGCGUCUAUUCCGGCAGUGAGUCGGCGGGGGAUAAGCUCCGUCGUCGAGGGGGAGACAGCCCUGACCGUCGUCUAAGGUCCCCAAGCGCGUGCUAAGUGGGAAAGGAUGUGGAGUCGCAUAGACAGCCAGGAGGUUGGCUCAGAAGCAGCCAUCCUUGAAAGAGUGCGUAACAGCUCACUGGUCUAGUGGUUCCGCGCCGACAAUGUAGCGGGGCUCAAGCACGCCACCGAAGACGCGGAUGCGGCCGUAUGGCCGUGUGGUAGGAGAGCGUCCCACACCGGGGCGAAGCGGCGGGGGAACCCGGCCGUGGACUGUGUGGGAGUGAGAAUGCAGACAUGAGUAGCGAGAGCAGGGUGAGGAUCCCUGCCGCUGGAAGACCAAGGGUUCCAGGGCCACGUUCGUCGUCCCUGGGUGAGUCGGGUCCUAAGGCGAGGCCGACAGGCGUAGUCGAAUGGAUGAACGGGUCGAUAUUCCCGUACCGGCUUUCGGACCGACCAACAGCCCGUGUGAACAAGGGCCAUCCGAUACGGUUGAUGGGGGCUUCGGCCUCCUGAUUCCGUUGCUGUUUGGCCUGGACGCGCAUGGGUUGAGCGUUUCAGGAGUGACGCGGACGGGUAGCCGGCCGGGGAGGUGGUUUUCCCUGGUCAAGCGUGUGGCCCCGCCCCCAGGCAAAUCCGGGGGCUUCAUGGGGUGAGGCGUGAUGAUGGGCGCUUUCAUGGCGUGAUAUCCGGUGAUCCCGUCGGCCGAGAAAAGCUUCGGCGCGAGGUCCGUUGCCGCCCGUACCCCAAACCGACACAGGUGGUCUGGUAGAGUAUACCGAAGCGAUCGAGCGAAUCCUGGUCAAGGAACUCGGCAAAUUGCUCCCGUGCCUUCGGCAUAAGGGAGACCCCCGGCCGUGCCGGCCCCUUGCGGGUCGUGGGCGGCUGGGGGUGGCACAGGCCAGGGGGUAGCGACUGUUUACCAAAAACACAGGUGCAUGCCAAGACGCAAGUCGCCGUAUAUGCACUGACGCCUGCCCGGUGCCGGAAGGUUAAGAGGAUCCAUCAGCGUCCCCUCGCGGGAUGCGAAGUGGUGAAUUCAAGCCCCGGUAAACGGCGGUGGUAACUAUAACCAUCCUAAGGUAGCGAAAUUCCUUGUCGGGUAAGUU